CUUUUUCUUUAAUCUAUCCUUCUGUCCUUUAUCUUCUUAUUUUCUUUAAAUGUGGCGCUUCAGGAUCAGACAGAAACCAUUUGAAUCCUGGUUUUUGCCACUUACUGGCUGUGUGGCUUUGGGGAAAAGACUUAGCUGCUCUGACCUCCAACUUUUGCAUCUAUAAAAUGGGGCUCAUCAGAGAUCCUCUCAACAUCAUUGUGAGGAACUGAUGAAAUGACAUGGGUCCAUCAAGUCAGUUCAGUUCUGGCACUGACUAUUCAGAGUUAAUGCAGAUUCCACAGGUUAAGGGCUCAGACUGUCCCCACUUCAGAGGCUAGCCACCAUCUGAGUGAUCAAGCAACCUACACUUCCACCGCACUAACUACAGACCUGGAAGUCACCACCAUCUUCCUACUCCACGUUUGGGACACUGAAAACGAAUUGCUUGUGGAGGGAAAGCACAUUUGGAAAGAGGAAUUCCAGUGAGUACCUUCGUGGUACUGACGAUAACC